CACAGGUGUGGUGGUCAGGCUAGUCACUCAUGGGGCAGCAGGUGCAGACGUUGUUUUGGAAUUCCAUGGAAAUGCCCCCAGCAGAUUGUGGGUCUUGGUCUGGGGCCGGUCUGGUUAUGGACUUUUCAAAUCUGGCAUACGUGCCGAGCCGAGCACCAUGAACUGCUCGAAAGCCCACUCAAAGCGGAGCGAGUGAGUCGGAGAGCCGCCGUCUGUUCCGGCGAUCGAGAGUCGGGAUCGGAGGGUAUGUGCUUGGCGGGGUGCUCGGAUCCACGGGGCACCAAUGCUACCGCUCGAAGAAGUGCAAAAAGUGAGCAGGCAGAGGCGAAUGUGUGCCGCCGUCUGUGUUUCGCCGUUUGUGUGCCGGCCGGCAUCUGGUGGAACUGGUUUCUUCUUUCCACGGGCGGCUCUCCCAGCACUUUGCGAAAAUAAUGAAAACAAAAAGUCGGCGAAAGAUUUGGCAAUGCACAGACACAGACACAAGCGGGGAACAUAUGAUAAGGCGGACACGUUCAUGGGGAGUGAUGUGGAGGAAAACGAGAAACCAAACCGAACAGCAGAUCAAGUUUUUUCUGUUUGCAAGUAAGGCCCGAAAAGCGGGAACAAAAACAAUGGCCAAUGACGAGGCAUUCAUACAAAAAACAGAGAUGAGGAACGGAAGCUGUAGGGUGAUGAAGUUCUCCAGAUAAUUCGGGGGUUCUCUUCCGAUAUCCUCCCUUUUUCUACCUACUUAAACAGCUACUGUGUGUCAUGAUGCGGAAUAUCAGAAACGAAGAUACAUGAUCAAUCAACCAGAUUUGUUCGAAAUGUUUGGGCAAACAGGUGUUUGAAUGGCUUGUGGAGUGGAUGGGAAGAAAGACAGUCAGAUAAACUGGUUUACAAUUCCAUUGUAGUCUUAAAAGAAAGCUGCCUUUAAACUCAGGAAUGAUAUGAUGAUAACUAUUGCGGUUAUCACUAUUUAGGUGUGUUCGCUAUUGCUAAAUGUAAUCAUUUUUCCCUACUGCACAUUGAACUCCCGUUAAUGGUUUGCUGAAUGGUUUAUAAAUGGGCCAUAAGUUAACCAGAAGCUAAUUGCGGAUUGGGGGCCCAGAUAAGAUUAUCAAAGCUGACGCAAAUCGAUCGGAAAGCCUCGUCGUGGGGGUUGGCCAUUGGAUAAUCCGCGAUUUACGAGCAACCGAAUCAACAGCGAAUCAAAGGCCAAAUCUUAGUGGACGAAGGACAGCACAACACGCCACUCAAGUGUUGACAACUGUCGGAGGAAGAACUGCGUGGAAUGGGAGGAGACAGCUGGCUAUUAUAUAUCACACUUUUUGUGUGCUCUCGGCCAACAGAGGCCGAAAAGGCCUCCACGUCCUGCUGCCCCAUAAAUGUAUCUGGUUCCUCGGUAGCUGUAUCCGUAUCUAUAUCUGUAUGUUUAUCUAAGCUCCGCGAAUGAAGCCAACAAAAGGUACAAAAGCCACCGCCAAGAGAUGGUGCAAAAGUGAGCGGGGGGAUUCACCCAUGCGCCAACAGGAAAGCGGAUGAGUUAUAGUCGAGAUACAGAUACGCCGAUAAUGAUGGAUGUUUGGGGGACGAGUGGGAACACAAAUAAACAAUUAUCAUCUG